UACGAAGGGGGCUAGCGUUGCUCGGAAUCACUGGGCGUAAAGGGUGCGUAGGCGGGUCUUUUAAGUCAGGGGUGAAAUCCUGGAGCUCAACUCCAGAACUGCCUUUGAUACUGAAGAUCUUGAGUUCGGGAGAGGUGAGUGGAACUGGCGAGUGUAGAGGUGAAAUUCGUAGAUAUUCGCAAGAACACCAGUGGCGAAGGCGGCUCACUGGCCCGAUACUGACGCUGCGGUGCGAAAGCGUGGGG
rnacentral:rRNA from 1 species